UGAUGCCUAGGAAAGAGGCUAGCUGGCCAGAAAAGUGGGAGAUGCUUAAUCAUAGAGCAUGUGAUGUUCAACUGCUGUCCAUUCAGACAGGUCCUAUGGAGGCUAAGCACUGGUUUCAGAUGAAUUUUCGUGAGACAGAGGCUCUCUUGCUAUUCUUUACUUCAAAUGAGUAAUUUCUUCCUCCAUUUCUGAAGUCUAUGAAAAUGCUAAAAUUUCUCAUGGUAUUCAAUUAUGGGACAAAGAGGGCAACAAUAAAAGAUCUAGAUGUGCUGUCUUCACUGACUCAACUCAAGAGUGUCCGCUUGCAGAGGUUGAUUGCAUCCCCUGUUCUAAAACAAAGCAAACAAAUAUCCAGCUUAGAGAAGCUAUGUUUAAGCUUAUGCGAGGGGUUUGAAUAUGUAUCCACAUUCAACAGUAUCAAGCUGCGAGAUUUUAACCUUGAUCACUGCAGCAGCUUGGAAGAGGUGCCCCUUAGUUUCUGUUAUAUGUCCUCUGCUCAGAUGUGAUCUAUUAGCAACUGUCAUCUGCUUAAGAUGUUACCUUAUGACCUUGGAAAUAUGAACUCUCUGAGAAUGUUAAGGUUAUCAGCUUUACCAGGCCUAAAAGAGCUUCCAGCAUCAAUUGGAAAACUCGAACGGUUGGAAUGUCUAGACAUUUCAUCGUGUGAGGGGCUAAGAGGACUUCCAGAGGAGAUUGGGCAACUAAAGAAACUGACAGAUUUUUAUAUGAGAGACUGUUCUCGUUUGAUGAGCUUACCAAGAGCUGUUUGUGAACUGACUUCCCUCAAGCUUGUUAUCUGUGAUGAGAAGAUUGGGAAACAAUGGUUGCGGGCAAAGAACAUUUCUAUUCCAGAGCUAAGGGUUGAAAUUGUUGAGACACACUUUAGUUUGGAGUGGCUCGAUGAUUAACUUCAUUUUACUUUUCAGCGUGAAGCAUAAUUUCCAUGUAACUUGACAAGUACCCUUAUAUGUUUUUAGCCUAUAGUUAUGAUCAAUAUUCGUCGCUUUUUAGGAUAGUAAGAACUAUUUACUGUAUUAUGCGUGCAGACCAACUUAUUCUCCAUCCAAAUGCAUUUCUUUGUUUCGAAUAAAGCCAGGAAGUGAUUUUCUUGUAAA